AUUGAACGCUGGCGGCAGGCCUAACACAUGCAAGUCGAGCGUGCGGCGCACGGUUCUGUACUGUCUGGCAAACUUCCUGAUGUCGGGGUCUAACUACUGGAAACGGUAUCUAAUACCCCAUACCAUCAUAUGUGCCCCUAUGGGAUUAGCUAGUAGGUGGGGUAAUGGCUCACCUAGGCGACGAUCCCUAGCGGGUCUGAGAGGAUGACCAGCCACACUGGAACUGAGACACGGUCCAGACUCCUACGGGAGGCAGCAGUGGGGAAUAUUGCACAAUGGGCGCAAGCCUGAUGCAGCCAGGCCGCGGGUGUGAAGAAGGCCUUCGGGUUGUAAAGCACUUUCAGCGGGGAGGCGGUAGCCGAAGAAGAAGCACCGGCUAACUCCGUGCCAGCAGCCGCGGUAAUAG
rnacentral:rRNA from 1 species